CGAGGACGAACGCUGGCGGCGUGCCUAACACAUGCAAGUCGAACGGAGAACUUAAGGAUAGAGACUUCGGUCAAUUGAUAUUUGUUCUUAGUGGCGGACGGGCGAGUAACGCGUGAGCAACCUGCCCUUCAGAGGGGAACAACAGUUGGAAACGACUGCUAAUACCGCAUAACGUGCUUUCGGGGCAUCCCGAGAGUACCAAAGAUUUUAUCGCUGAAGGAUGGGCUCGCGUCCGAUUAGAUAGUUGGUGAGGUAACGGCUCACCAAGUCGACGAUCAGUAGCCGAACUGAGAGGUUGAUCGGCCACAUUGGGACUGAGACACGGCCCAGACUCCUACGGGAGGCAGCAGUGGGGAAUAUUGCGCAAUGGGGGCAACCCUGACGCAGCAACGCCGCGUUGAGGAUGACGGUUUUCGGAUUGUAAACUCAUGUCGGGUGGGAAGAUAAUGACGGUACCACCGGAGAAAGUCACGGCUAACUACGUG
rnacentral:rRNA from 1 species